ACAAAUCUAAGGGUCUCGAUAGAGCAUCAGAGCUCCAUAUUAGUUUGGACUCUGCUGAACAAAGUUCGCCAUCUAUGAAAUGUAGACAGGAUGAACACAAGAGUCAACCUGGUUUAUGUAGUGAAUCAGGCUCAUCUCUUACGGGAAAGCGACCUAUUCUUCAGCUGCACGGAGCAAGUUCCGACAAUAGUGGACGCUCAUCUCACAAGAGAGAAAGAAGAGAUGCUCAUGGCGGCGGUGCUCUUUUUGAUCUCAACGUGCCAGCCGAAGUGGCAGACAAGAUCUGAAGCUCCUGUAUCUGACGGAACAUUCCGCUGCAACUGUACAUCUGACCUGUGUUUCUUCAGCUACAUAAAGGAAUUUGUGUUGUCUUUUGUUGCCCUAGGGCCGCAACCUCGCCCUGGGGUUGUGAUCCCGACCAAUAGAGCAAAACUUUCAACUUGUCCUCUUGUAUAUCAUGACAUGACAUGAUGCCAUUGUGCAUAGUUCCUUUGGUGA